UGGGGAAUAUUGGACAAUGGGCGGAAGCCUGAUCCAGCAACGCCGCGUGAGGGAUGACGGCCUUCGGGUUGUAAACCCUUCUUCAGCACAGACGAAGCGCAAGUGACGGUAUGUGCAGAAGAAGGACCGGCCAACUACGUGCCAGCAGCCGCGGUAAUACGUAGGGUCCGAGCGUUGUCCGGAAUUAUUGGGCGUAAAGGGCUCGUAGGCGGUUUGUCGCGUCGGGAGUGAAAACACCGGGCUUAACUCGGUGCUUGCUUUCGAUACGGGCAGACUAGAGGCAUUCAGGGGAGAACGGAAUUCCUGGUGUAGCGGUGAAAUGCGCAGAUAUCAGGAGGAACACCGGUGGCGAAGGCGGUUCUCUGGGAAUGUCCUGACGCUGAGGAGCGAAAGUGUGGGGAGCGAACAGGAUUAGAUACCCUGGUAGUCCACACCGUAAACGUUGGGCGCUAGGUGUGGGAUCCAUUCCACGGGUUCCGUGCCGCAGCUAACGCAUUAAGCGCCCCGCCUGGGGAGUACGGCCGCAAGGCUAAAACUUAAAGGAAUUGACGGGGUCAUAGCUGUUUCCU
rnacentral:rRNA from 1 species